rnacentral:lncRNA from 1 species
UCUCUCCCUUUUCCUUUCUAUUUUCACUUCAGAUUUUUACUACCUCAUCUUCAUCUAAUCCCAUGUCCAAAACCAUUUUUGGAUGGAUUUUAUGCCAUAUGGGGUGCUCCUUAAAUAAGGGAUGAAGGGGUGCCACACAAGACAUUAAGGGGCACCAACUUUUGGCGUCCCAACUCCCUAACACAAUAAAAAAUAAUUCUUUUAGUAUGGAAACCCAAGUGUUAGGCAUGGAAUAAGAGGUGUUUCAUCUACAGAAGGAUUCCUCCUUUGCUAGAAAAAAUAUGAACACCAUAAAAUAGUGCAUGGAAUAAAAGGAGAAAUAAAUUGGCGCAAACACAUCCCAUGUGUCGUCCCUUUAUUUUCAUAAAGAAUAAAUUCUUUAUAUAGAAACUCUAGGUGUGGAAGAGCCUUCAAGCAUAAGGACUUCUUCACUUCUGCACCAACAAUUAUCCAGAACCAUUAUAUGGCGCGUGGAGGGAAGAAAAAAUGCAUGGAAUAAAAGAGGAAUGAAGAGUCCCAUGAGAAAUGGACUCUACAUUUCUCAACGCCAUAAAUGGGGCAUCCCAACUCAUUUUUGGCAUGGAGUUCCUUUCAAAAGAAGGAUUUUCUCUUUUCUUCCAUGUCCCACAUCCUAAGGCACCAUCUGAUGGUGCACAAAAUUAAUGGGAUGUGUGGAACAUGUAAUGAUUUUAAGAGGAGUAAGAAAGAAGGACUCUCCUUCUUAAUACCAAAAAUAAUUGUGAUGCCAUUCAUUAUUAUGCGUGUGGUUUGACAUAAAGGAGGUUGAUUCCAUAUGGAAUACUUUUACAAAAUUAGAUAAAACCAACUAAUAAAUUAGAUGGUUUAAACCUAAUCACAUUAGGUCAAGGCAACAAGACUAGGUUAGCACAAACACCUUUGCAUUGAACCCAAUUGAGAACUUGGGUCAAUUCAUGUGCUAGCAAUUUAAUUAACCCAUUGAAUUUAUAAUAAAUUUAAAUUAAUUAGAUCAAGAUCAAAUUUUUAUUGUGUGUGACCCAUUGGAUUCAAAAUCUAACCAGCAGUAGAUCUAAACUCUCGACGAAAUCCUAAUCCGAUUGGAUUAGGUCAGCUUAAGAGUCCCAAUCAACUAGGACUCUUCCUAAUUGAUUUUAGAAUUAAAUUCUUUUAAUUAUGUCGAGUUCACAAGUUAAGAUUAACAUCUAGAAUAUGUCAUGACUAUCCAAAAGAUUUAAAAUUUGAUGAAAAUAUCAAAAUUAUCCUUUCGUGGUGAGUGACCAUGCAAUUCAAUCCUUCGAUCACACAAUAUCCCAGGAAGGCUAUGGGAAUGAAAAAAUGUCAAACCCAAAUACCUAACUAUAUGUAUCUCAAUCAGAUGAUGACUCAGUUGAUGAAAUAGUAAAAACUAUUUCUAUUGUUCAUCACUACUCUGGUCAGACUUUCAGAGUCACCAUCCUAUGAGAUCACAUAGGAUGUUGUCUUCUCUUAUAUAGAGUGAUCGAUUUCUUGUUGACCACUCACAAUCUUCAUACACACUUUGUCAUAUCUAGAAUAUCCCACGUACAUCUCAAAGUGGUGUGCUAGAGAAUAAACUAAAGUAAGGAUCCAUGCACACAAGGUACCAUGGUGAUCUCAGGUCAAAGGAUCACAUGCACCCCUCUUACUGAAGAAUCAUCUUCUGACAUGCUGUAAGGCUCCAUCAGAUGUUCUUUUACAGAUCAGUUUAGUGAACUCAUUUUUUAAUGAACAUCUACAUCCUUAUAUUAAUGUCAUCAUACAAGUGGUUGUGAGAUCUAUCAUCCACUCCAUCGAGCAUAUAUAGGAUGUAUCAAUUUUAUCGGAGUCAUCGAUCUCUGACUCGAUGAUCCAAUGACUAAAAAUAUUUUAGAUUGGAGUUAUCAAAAUUUUAGAUCUCACUGGCAUGAUCUCAUCAUGGUCCUAAAAUUAUUACUCUAAUCUAUGAGAUUUAUCAUAAUCAUAAAAAAUAUGAUGCAGUAAAUGAUAAAAUAUAAUACCUCAUAUAAAUAAAAAAUAACUAAUAUCAUUGAAAUGAGCAGGAAGAUAAUAAAGAAAAGUUUCAUCGCAUCCCGAUGCGAUUGGCUUGUAGGGCACUAUUCUUUCCAUCUCUCACUUGCACUAAAGCCAAUCGCCCCUUAAUUGAUGUCCAUGCAAUCAGGAUGGCGAUUACACUGCUGCUAUGUAUGGCUUAGUAAACUGAUCCUAUAUUUUUUGGUCAUAUCAUGAAUGAGAUGAAAGUACCUAGGAUGUGCGUGGGUACUCAGU